rnacentral:lncRNA from 1 species
CUGAAAUUUGUUAGUGGAUUAGAUCUCUUUCUCAGUGCACAUUCAUGAUGAUAAAACUGCAGGCAUAACCAUACAUUCUGAAGUAUUUCAGCAGUACCAAUAGAAUUUGUUGGUAAAGGAAUUUUUCUCAGUGAAAACUCAUGAAGUAAGAAAGCGUUGAUGUUUGUUUAAAGCCUUAAUGCGGCAGUUGGAGAAACAGGAAAUUACCUGACUUUCAAAGCAUGUGAAGCAAGGGU